CCUACGGGAGGCAGCAGUAGGGAAUAUUGCUCAAUGGGGGAAACCCUGAAGCAGCAACGCCGCGUGGAGGAUGAAGGUUUUCGGAUUGUAAACUCCUUUUGUUAGAGAAGAGAAUGACGGUAACUAACGAAUAAGCACCGGCUAACUCCGUGCCAGCAGCCGCGGUAAUACGGAGGGUGCAAGCGUUACUCGGAAUCACUGGGCGUAAAGAGCGCGUAGGCGGGAUAGCAAGUCAGAUGUGAAAUCCUAUGGCUUAACCAGAGAACUGCAUUUGAAACUGUUAUUCUAGAGUAUGGGAGAGGUAGGUGGAAUUCUUGGUGUAGCGGUAAAAUGCGUAGAGAUCAAGAGGAAUACUCAUUGCGAAGGCGACCUGCUAGAACAUAACUGACGCUGAUGCGCGAAAGCGUGGGGAGCAAACAGGAUUAGAUACCCUUGUAGUC
rnacentral:rRNA from 1 species